rnacentral:lncRNA from 1 species
UUGGAAGAGUAGCAUAUAACAAAAUGAUUAAAUACAUUGGAAAGAAUACAAAUGAUCAUAAAGCAAGAAAAAUAGCUAGACAGCAGUCUUUCUUGUUUGUGGCUUCAGAUCAGCAUUGCCCCAGACUGAAAGGAAUGUAUGUGCCUGAAGACCACAGCUGAUCAUCUGUGGAAAUGUGGAAAGCAUUCCAAGACUUGGCUGAAGCCAGCAGCGUAGUGCCUGUCUCCCACUCCCCUGGAGAUGGGCUGCAGUAAAAACAAUAUUGAAUACUUAGCACUUUGUUUUUCUUGAAUUGUUUCAUUGGUCUUUGGCUUAAAAA